AUGGUGCUUCCGAUGUCUCCACGAUCCAAGCGAAGUGAGGUGGCGGCCGCUGCUCAGCUACGAACCCCGUCAAGCUCGGCGCUCAUCACAAUUUGCUCUCCGACAACGCUGUUGCGGCCUCUCAUCGAUCUGUCGCCCACGCACCCACCGGGAUUUGAGGCGUCCCCCACCCGCCACUUCUCUACACCAGCUAUUCCUGGAGGGCUGGAGACGCUCUUCCUGCCUGGACGUGAGGCCUUGCUGCCAACCCCUGCUGCUUCCCCGCCCGCGGCCCCCGCGGCACGCCGGAAAACUCUGGCUGGUGUUGCCAUCAGCACAAGUGGCGGCCUCUCCCUUAGGCGCACCAGUGCUCGCAUCAAGACCGGUGGACGCGCUACAAAAGCGCCGGUGGCCAAGCAAGCUGAGAUCCUGGUUUGUCGCAGCCUUGGCAUUGUCAAGAACAACAAGGAUGUGACAGGGGCUGUGCUGGAGGCUCUAGAAGAGCGAUUCAAAGAUCAACUUCCCACUGAUGUGCUUGAAGCGAUGAGAGCCCUGUUCAAGCUCGAUGAUGCUCUGUUCAACAACAUUGAGGAGGCUCAGAUCGACCGUGCUGGGGAGGCUGGACUGGAUCAUGUUGAGGGAGGGGCCCCUUGUUUGAAAAAGUUCCAAGGGCGGCUGCUGCUCCUGUGCACAGCUGGGUGUCUCCUAUGUACUUGUUCGUGUCUACCACUAGGUCAUGUAGUCGUUCCAGAGUUGGCUGGGUUAGACUGUUUCCUUAUGAUUGAACAGCAAAUAAAUGUGUUGAGUUGGAACGUAAGGGGCCUCAACUGCCUAGACCGCCGUGCCGCCGUCCACGAGACCGUCGCGGCUUCCUCCUGUCAAAUAGUAUGUCUACAAGAAACAAAACUUGAAAAUGUUGAUAUGUUCACGGCAAGUUUCCUUGGUGGGCAUAGGUUUCACAAUUUUGCUCAGCGACCAUCUAUUGGUACCCGGGGUGGGAUCCUCAUGCUCUGGGAUGAUGACCAUGUUGUUGUAACUGAUGUGGUGAUCACCACCUUCUGCCUUUCAGCGACAAUACACAUCAAGCACUCCGAUGUCAGCUAUCGAAUCACCGUUGUGUACGGUCCAACAUCCUCCUCCCUCAAGGAGGAUUUCUUCGCGGAGCUGAUUAGUCAGAAGCCGCCGGCAAAGUUACUCCACCAUGCGGUUCUUCUCGUCAUCCUGCAUCUGGACAUCGCACAUGAGUCCAGGCAGCUCUCUACGAUGGAGGCGGACCUUCGGUCCAGGCUCAAAAGGAGAAUAAUUGGGUUUGCGGUACUGUGCUCCGAGGACUCCGACGCUGACGCUGCCGAAUACCUCCGCGAGAUGCAAGGGCCUCCUGGGGAGGCACCGACGGACUUUUUGCAUUGGGGUCAACAAUUUUUACAGUCGUCCUCCCACCCAACCGACGAACGCACUACGCACGCGCCCACCGAGCUCGACCGCCACCGCUCCGUCCUCGUGCCCGGUGAGGACCCCGGCGAGCGUGGACGCAAGAGUGACUCAUGGGGUGACCAUGGAGAGGACGGCGCGCAUGCCCAGCGCGCCCGCCAGCUCCGACAGCGGCCGCAUCCCGCGCUCCUCCUCGGCGCACACGUUCUGCAGCCCGAUGAUGUCUGCUCCCGUCCACGCUCCCGCAGCACCUCCUCCAUGCUCUGCCGCCGGCUUGCGUCCAGCCCGCCCGACACCACCUGCUGCGUCUUCCGGGUCCUCGGGCUGCCGACCAGCCGGCCGCUCCUGUCGAGGUUGCUCCUGCACUUUCAAUAUUCCCUUGGGCCGCGGCUUCGCGCACGCUUCCGUGUUGGGGCCGCUCCGGCGCGCGGCCUCGCACUCCGCUCUAGCUCCUGCUUCAGGGACUGCGGCCACCGCGGGCGCCAUGGAGAACAGCACCGCCCGUCGAGGCGCUGUGGGACGGCUGACACCAACGCGGGAGAAGUACUCGCUGCUGCCCCCGGACUGGAGACGAUGGUGCGGGUAGACAGCGCGGCCGCCCGGGCCGAGUUGCAGCGCGUGCGGGCGAGCACCAGGGAGACCGGUAGCGGCGAGGGACUGGAGGCGGCGGUGAGGGCGUGGGAGAGGUCGCCGCGGGCGCGGGGUGGCGGCAGAGCACCGGCGACGCCAGGAGCAGGACGAUGA
rnacentral:rRNA from 1 species